UACGUAGGGUGCAAGCGUUAAUCGGAAUUACUGGGCGUAAAGCGUGCGCAGGCGGCUUUGCAAGACAGAUGUGAAAUCCCCGGGCUCAACCUGGGAACUGCAUUUGUGACUGCAUAACGAGAGUGUGGCAGAGGGAGAUGGAAUUCCGCGUGUAGCAGUGAAAUGCGUAGAUAUGCGGAGGAACACCAAUGGCGAAGGCAAUCUCCUGGGCCUGCACUGACGCUCAUGCACGAAAGCGUGGGGAGCAAACAGG
rnacentral:rRNA from 1 species